AACCUAGCACACCUGCGGUGUGUACCUGCGGAAGGAUCAUUAUAGUAUAUGGAAUCUCCAUUCUAUAAACCCACUCUGCGUAUCUUGUAACUGUUGCUUCCAUGGGACUUGGUUCCGCCACACCGGCUUCACGGCUGGUGAGCGCCCAUGGAAGGAGAAACAAAACUCUUCUUUGAAAUGUAGUCAGUCUGAACAAGUUUUUAUAAACGUUAAAACUUUCAGCAACGGAUCUCAGAUCGG
rnacentral:misc_RNA from 1 species